GUUUAUUAGGUUUAGAACUCGUGUAAUGGUUAUGUGUCAUGUUGCAUCAACUUAAUCUAGAUGAUGAUUACGUGUUGUUGAAAUUUUCUAAGGCACUUAGGUAGUUAAAAAACCCUUUUUUACCAGCUAAUAUUAUAAUUUUUUACAGAUUACAACAGCAGGAACUGUAUGUGAUGUCAUGCCCCCGACAGAAGAUGGAUGGAAGAACCCAAAAAGGUGUAAAAAAAGAAUCACAAUUCAUUCACAGUUCUAAUUAUUCUCCUUUCCAUUUCUCUUUUCUUUUUCUUUUUGAGAAAACCUUUUGAGAGCUCUCUACUGACAUGUAGGCCAUGGCGUGGAAAGGAGCAGCUCAACUACUCAGCACACCGACCUGGGCCCCACCCGUCAGGGACACAAACCGUCCUCCUACACUACGGCAAGAAUCCGCCUCCACGUCGGCCACCCCCCC
rnacentral:lncRNA from 1 species